ensembl:lncRNA
AAUUCUUUAGCUCCUUAAUUUCAGUGCUGUCCUGCCAAUUUCCAUUAGCUAGGACUUGGAACAGGGAAUAUUUGGUUGCUGUCAGCAGUUUUGCAGGCGUAUUUAUAUUAACUAGAUUUGUGUUGUAGCAUUUAGGUUUCUGACGUGAUAUACACUAAAGACAAGCAUGAGUCUAAAGGAAACCACUUACUUAGUUAAGCUGUUCCAGUUUAGCAAAUCUUCUCUUCUACAGGUCUUGGUGCGUUGCACGACUCUAUAAUUUGUUAUUCUGCCAGAAAAUGUGGACAACAGUGAAUGUGUUAGAGGCCUUUCCAUCCUGUUUUACCUGAUCUGUUUACUUGAAGCAGCAUGGAAGUGCCUGUCUGCGAUGGAUGAUGUGAAGGAAGGAUCCUCACUAAACUGUGGAAUGUCCAUUUCCUCCUGUCUGCCACUAGAAAGAGAUGCUUUGUGCUUGAGAGGAACAAAUACCUACAGUCCAGACAAGAAGUCUGAAUAAACUGGUACAGUGAGUGUAAAGUCCACCAGAUCCACAAUGAAUCCACUCAUCCUAUGUCAGGCCUCUGAAUCUGUGAGGACUGGAAAUUUAAGCACGAUCUCAUUGGCAAUGUUGCUGUAUGACUCUCCUGCCCCAGACAGUGGUUUGCAAGCAACUUCAAAAAAGGUGCAUGAUCCAUCAUUGAGCUGUCAUUUCCAAUUCUGUUAAUCUACCACCACUCACAUCCAGUGCUCACACCUACCAAAAGAUUCCGCAGAAUUCUACUCUGAAACCAGAACAAUGGCAAAUAAAAAUACGGACUCUCAAUAAAAUGUCUACAGAUGAAGAAAUUAAUAGUGAACUGAAUUUCAGUAAGCAGCUGUAAGAUUUUUCCUGUUUCCAG